GGUGAACAGUCCGGUGACGGUGAAUAAUAAUACUCCAGUGGGGGUCAAGGCCUAUGAUAGCAUGGCCCUCAAUAGAGAGAGGAGACUCAACUAUCAAAGGACUCUCCAUCCAUCUCCAGAAUGUGUCGAUGUAGAGGAUUGGUACUAGCAACAACGGACUUGUUUUUUUUUUUUUGUCCUUUUUUUUUUUUUCUUAUAUAAAGUAAACUAUAUUGUAACUUUCUAAAUCUGUGACAAAUACAACAUUAGUCCCCAGCCAGACAUGGGUUGCAUCCCAAUAAUCUCGUAUUUCUCCUGAAGUGUGCUCUUGUUCACUUCCCUCAAUGAGUUUGAAAGGAAAUUACUGGAAUACCUAUAUGGAAACUCCUUCUAGCCCAUGCCUACACAAUCCAAGACUUUUACAUUUGACCACUAGCUGAGCCUAUAUGGAUACUUUUACAUUUGACCACUAGCUGAGCCUAUAUGGAUACUUUUACAGUUGACCACUAGCUGAGCCUAUAUGGAUACUUUUACAGUUGACCACUAGCUGAGCCUAUAUGGAUACUUUUACAGUUGACCACUAGCCGAGCCUAUAUGGACACUUUUACAGUUGACCACUAGCUGAGCCUAUAUGGAUACUUUUACAGUUGACCACUAGCCGAGCCUAUAUGGAUACUUUUACAGUUGAUCACUAGCUGAGCCUAUAUGGAUACUUUUACAGUUGACCACUAGCCGAGCCUAUAUGGAUACUUUUACAGUUGACCACUAGCCGAGCCUAUAUGGAUACUUUUACAGUUGACCACUAGCCGAGCCUAUAUGGACACUUUUACAGUUGACCACUAGCUGAGCCUAUAUGGACACUUUUACAGUUGACCACUAGCUGAGCCUAUAUGGAUACUUUUACAGUUGACCACUAGCUGAGCCUAUAUGGAUACUUUUACAGUUGACCACUAGCCGAGCCUAUAUGGACACUUUUACAGUUGACCACUAGCUGAGCCUAUAUGGAUACUUUUACAGUUGACAACUAGCCGAGCCUAUAUGGAUACUUUUACAGUUGACCACUAGCUGAGCCUAUAUGGAUACUUUUACAGUUGACCACUAGCUGAGCCUAUAUUGUACUAUAUGUAAGUAUCUUGUUUGUGUUUUUUACAUUUUCUUCUGAAUCUGAUGUUUGUGCUACUCAUCUGAAAAUGUGGCGUCUAAUUUGACUAAUAUUCUACGUCCCAAUGGUUGCCCUACACACA
rnacentral:lncRNA from 1 species